rnacentral:lncRNA from 1 species
UCCAUCUGCUGGAGCGAGAUCUAUGUUCCUAGACUAAAUAUAGUCUAUGAUUUGUGAUUCCGGCACUGCUGGAGAUGCUCUAAGGAACAAGUUCCCAAACGUAAAAGUUAUUAACAUACCUUCAUUAAUUUAAUCACCAACUAAAAUAAACUAAUCCCAUAACCACAUAUAAGAAGAGUUAUUAACAUACCUUCAUUAAUUUAAUCACCAACUAAAAUAAACUAAUCCCAUAACCACAAUAUAAGAAGAGAGACAGAUGGCUGAAAAUACCCCAUCGAAUAAAGGAAGCUUACAAUGUUUCACUUGGCAACAGCUGUGGCUUGCUUUUUUGGAAACAACUGGAUGAAUCUCCCCGAUUUGUCAAAUAUCACGCUCACCUGCUAAAACAGUCUCAAGUUUCCA